GUGAAUAUAGUUUAAAACAACACUAGACUGUGAAUCUAGAAAUAGGAGCAUAACUCUCCUUAUUCACC
rnacentral:tRNA from 1 species